CCUUCUAACCUUACCUCUCUCUCUCUCUAUUCAAAAAAAAACUCCAGAACCAGGGAGAGAAACCCUAGUCAAGAAUCAAGAUGAGUUACGCCGCCUUCAAGAUGAUGCACUGGGCCACCGGGAUCGAGAACUGCGCCGCUGGAUUCAUCACCCACUCGCUGGUGGACUUCGCCGCCCAGAUGCCCCCCAUCCAAGCCGACGAUCUCGAGUCCGAAUGGUCUCCCAUGAGACGGAUCGGUCCCAUCCCCAAUCUCGUCGUGACGGCCGGGAAUGUGCUGGAGAUUUACCUUGUAAGGAUCCAAGAAGACGAUGGCAGACCUGCCGCCCGACCCGGAGGCGAGCAGCGUGGUGUGGGCAUCACGGAUGGGCUCAGCGGUGCCCGCCUCGAACUCGUUUGCCAUUACCGAUUGCAUGGUAAUGUGGAAUCAAUGGCAAUACUGUCUCUUGGAGUUGAUGAUCGCAGCAAAAGAAGAGAUUCAAUAGUGUUAGCAUUUCAAGAUGCAAAACUUACAGUGCUAGAGUAUGAUGAUUCAACACAUGGGUUGCGUGCAAGUUCCAUGCAUUGUUUUGAGGGACCAGAUUGGCAUUUCCUGAAAAGGGGCAGGGAAAGAUUUGCUAGAGGUCCUCUAGUAAAGGCUGACCCCUUAGGCCGCUGUUGUGGAGCACUUAUCUAUGGGCUUCAAAUGAUAAUUCUUAAAUCUGCUCAGGCUGGCCAAGGAUUGGUUGGAGAUGACGAGCCUGCUAGUUCGGGAAGCACUUUUCCUGCUCGUAUUGAGUCAUCAUAUGUGAUUAACUUGCAUGAUCUAGAUAUGAAACAUGUCAAAGAUUUUACCUUUGUACAUGGUUACAUUGAGCCUGUUAUGGUUAUACUUCAUGAAAGAGAACCUACCUGGGCUGGUCGGAUCUCAUGGAAGCACCAUACUUGCACAAUCUCUGCACUUAGUAUCAGCACAACUCUAAAACAGCAUCCUAUGAUAUGGUCUGCUGUGAAUCUUCCGCACGAUGCAUACAAGCUUCUUGCAGUGCCUUCUCCUAUUGGUGGUGUUCUUGUAAUAUGUGCAAAUACCAUUCAUUAUCACAGUCAGUCUGCAUCUUGUUCGCUUGGCCUCAACAAUUUUGCAAAUCAGCCAGAGAAUAGCUCAGAGAUGCCGAAAUCAAACAUCAAUGUGGAGCUCGAUGCGGCCAACGCGACAUGGUUGUCCCAUGAUGUUGCCAUGUUCUCUUCAAAAACUGGAGAACUACUCUUGCUUACAUUGGUUUAUGAUGGGAGAGUCGUGCAGAGACUUGAUCUUAUGAAAUCAAAAGCUUCAGUUUUGACCUCGGGCAUCACGGCGAUUGGAAGUUCAUUCUUUUUCCUGGGCAGUCGGUUGGGAGACAGCCUUCUUGUGCAGUAUGGUUGUGGGACAUCCACACCAACAACAGCCAACAUGAAAGAUGAGGUUGCUGAUAUUGAAGUUGAUGGCCUCUCAGCAAAGAGGCUACGAAGGAUGUCAUCUGAUGCUCUACAAGAAGUUGUCAGUGGAGAGGAGCUUUCUUUGUAUUCAACAGCUCCAAAUAGUUCAGAAUCAGCACAGAAGAGCUUCUCAUUUGCAGUGAGGGAUUCCUUGGUUAAUAUUGGUCCACUGAAGGACUUCUCUUAUAGUUUAAGGAUCAAUGCUGAUCCCAAUGCUACAGGAAUUGCGAAGCAAAGCAACUAUGAAUUGGUGUGCUGUUCUGGUCAUGGGAAAAAUGGGGCUCUAUGUGUGCUUCAACAAUCAGUUCGUCCUGAAUUAAUCACAGAGGUGGAAUUACCUGGCUGCAAAGGGAUUUGGACAGUGUACCAUAAGAGCUCACGUGGUCAUACGGCUGACUCUUCUAAAACUAUGCCAGAAGAUGAUGAAUAUCAUGCAUAUUUGAUAAUAAGUCUGGAGGCUCGAACUAUGGUUCUUGAAACAGCUGAUGAUCUGGGAGAGGUUACGGAAACUGUGGAUUAUUAUAAAGGAAGUACAAUUUCUGCAGGAAACUUAUUUGGAAGGCGUCGAGUCGUGCAAAUUUUUGCACACGGUGCUCGUAUCCUUGAUGGUUCAUACAUGACCCAAGAGUUGAACUUUGGUGGACAUAAUUCUGACUCAACUACCAACUCGGAGGUAUCUGCAGUAGCAUCUGUUUCUAUAGCUGAUCCCUAUGUAUUACUAAAAAUGACUGAUGGAAGUAUUCAGCUACUUGUUGGAGAUCCUUCCGCUUGCACUGUCUCUGUCAAUGUCCCACCUAUAUUUGCAAACUCAACAAAAUUGAUAUCUGCAUGUACACUUUAUCAUGACAAAGGACCAGAACCAUGGCUUCGUAAGACUAGUACGGAUGCAUGGCUUUCUACUGGAAUUGCUGAGCCCAUUGAUGGGAGUGAUGGAUCAUAUCAUGAUCAGGGUGAUGUAUAUUGUCUGGUCUGUUAUGAAAAUGGUAGACUUGAUAUUUUUGAUGUGCCUACUUUUAAAUGUGUUUUCUCUGUGGAAAAUUUUAUUUCUGGAAAGACCCAUCUUGUGGAUGCAUAUAUUCCAGAACCAACCACAUCAACUCAGGUAAACAAGGAAAAAAUGUUUGAAGGGGCAAAAGUUCAAGCAAAGAAGGAAACCCCAGAAAACAUGAAGAUAGUUGAGUUGGCUAUGCAACGGUGGUUUGGUCAAUAUAGUCGACCAUUUCUUUUUGCGAUAUUAAAUGAUGGCACAAUGCUCUGUUAUCAUGCUUACAUAUAUGAGGGCCCAGAAAAUGCACCAAAAGUUGAGGAUGUAGUUUCUCCUCAUAAUGGCAUGGAUAUUAGUAAUAUGAGCAGUUCAAGGCUUAGAAAUUUGAGAUUUAUUCGUGUUGCCCUAGACAUUACUGCACGUGAAGAAUCUCCAGAUAGCGUUACACAACCAAGAAUAAUGGUAUUCAAGAAUGUAGGGGGCUAUCAAGGUUUGUUCCUUACUGGGUCAAGACCGGCAUGGUUUAUGGUCUGCAGGGAACGACUUCGGAUACAUCCACAGCUCUGUGAUGGAUCCAUAGUGGCUUUUACUGUUCUCCACAAUGUGAAUUGCAAUCACGGUCUCAUCUAUGUUACAUCACAGGGUUAUUUGAAAAUUUGUCAGCUGCCAUCUGUAUUUAAUUAUGAUAGCUAUUGGCCAGUUCAAAAGGUUCCUUUGAGGGGCACCCCGCAUCAAGUCACUUACUUUGCUGAAAAGAAUCUAUACCCACUUAUCAUAUCUGUUCCUGUUGUAAAGCCGCUAAAUCAAGUCCUUUCUUCUCUUGCUGAUCAAGAUAUAGGCCAUCAGACAGAUCGUGAAAGCAUCAAUUCUGAUGACCUGCAAAAGUUUUACAGUGUUGAUGAAUUUGAGGUUCGCAUUUUGGAGCCAGAGAAAUCUGGUGGGUGUUGGGAAACAAGGGCUACCAUUCCGAUGCAAACUUCUGAAAAUGCUCUUACUGUUCGUGUAAUUACAUUAUUUAAUACAACAACAAGGGAAAAUGAAAGUCUUUUGGCCAUUGGGACAGCUUAUGUGCAAGGGGAGGAUGUAGCUGCUAGAGGCAGAGUGCUGCUGUAUUCUUUUAGCAAAAAUUCCGAGAAUUCCCAGAAUCUGCAGGUUUUAGAGGUUUACUCUAAGGAGUUAAAGGGAGCUGUCUCAGCCUUAGCAUCUCUUCAAGGUCACUUAUUGAUAGCAUCUGGCCCAAAAAUCACCUUGCACAAGUGGACUGGUUCUGAGCUGAAUGGGGUUGCAUUCUAUGAUGCUCCUCUGCAUGUUGUGAGCUUGAACAUUGUCAAAAAUUUUAUCCUCUUGGGUGACAUCCACAAAAGCAUAUACUUUCUGAAUUGGAAAGAGCAAGGUGCUCAAUUGAGCUUGCUGGCUAAAGAUUUUGGCACUCUUGAUUGUUAUGCAACUGAAUUUCUGAUUGAUGGGAGUACGUUGAGUCUUGUAGUUUCAGAUGAUCAGAAAAACAUUCAGAUCUUCUAUUAUGCACCAAAAAUGCUGGAAAGUUGGAAAGGGCAGAAGCUUCUAUGCAGAGCAGAAUUUCAUGCUGGAGCCCAUGUGACAAAGUUCUUGCGGUUGCAGAUGCUCCCUACCUCUGCUGAUCGAACCACUGCAGCAACUGGAUCUGACAAAACCAACCGAUUUGCUCUUUUGUUCAGCACACUAGAUGGGAGCAUUGGUUGCAUUGCACCACUAGAUGAGCUCACUUUCCGCAGGCUUCAGACCCUACAGAGGAAGCUAGUAGAUGCUGUUCCUCAUGUAUGUGGUCUAAACCCCAGGUCAUUCAGACAGUUCCGUGCAAAUGGAAAGGCACAUCGUCCUGGUCCUGACAAUAUGGUAGAUUGUGAGCUUCUUUCCCAUUAUGAAAUGCUACCACUGGAUGAACAGCUAGAGAUUGCUCAUCAAAUUGGAACUACCCGUUCACAGAUUCUUUCCAACUUAAAUGAUCUAUCACUUGGAACGAGUUUCCUGUGACAACAGCGGUGAUUUUUUUAACUUAUCUCAGUGAUCUACUAUUUCUGGGCUUUCGGAGGAACAUUGUUGGCAUUCAAUGGGGAUGCAGUCUUCAACCCUAAAACCAAUAUAGCAUCUGUGCUCAACUACCCCGCCACAGUGGAUGAUGCAGCUAUUCAGCAGUUUUAAUUAAAUGAAACUGGAUGGUGGAAACGAUAUACCCGGCAAUGAGCUGUUGACGUGUUGCAGGCUGCAACUUCAUGUGUGGAUGUGCCUUCGCGCCCUUGUCCUGCCACGUGCUGUCUAAACAGACGCUAAUAUUGAUUCUCACAUUGUUUAUUAUGUUUAUUUGAGCUCAAAAAUGGCUCAUGACUUGUACUAUUUUUCAAUCAGAAGUCGGUGUAUUAUAUUAUUGAUUCGUAUUCUCUAGUACCUGCAAUGCGAUCAAUGUGCAAACAUUUCAAGCAUUAAUUCUUUCUUCGAUAGAACUUCCAAGUAGUAAUUCUGUAUUGCAGAUACAAUAUCGUAAAACACAUUGAAGGAGAAAAACCAGGGAUAUAAUGUAGUAUUCCUGAAUCUUGUUUUUGUGUUAUUUUUGCAUGGCCAUUCAAUAAAGUUUCACAGGUUGUAAACAAUAUGGCAUGGUUGACAAUACAUACAUAUGCGGUGAA